UCACACAUGCUUCAGUGCUCUGAGAGUGUUUAUAGUGCUGUGAGUUUAACACUUCAUGACUGAGAGCAGAACAGAACACAAUCUUCAUCAUCACACAAGACAAAAGAACAACAAUGAACAAAAUCACCUUCUUCAUCUGGACUCUGACUCUCUGCAUUCAGGAGAGCUGGGGACAAGUGACAGUGACUCAGAAUCCAACAAUAAAAUCCAUCAAACAAGGAGAAACUGUUACAAUCAGCUGUAAAACCAGUCAGCCGAUUUCUGGCUGUAGUGACUGUGUGUCUUGGUAUCAGCAGAAACCUGGAGAAGCUCCUAAACUCCUCAUUUAUUGGAUAAGAAGACUUCAGUCAGGAACUCCAUCUAGAUUCAGUGGCAGUGGAUCUAACUAUGGCAGUGAUUUCACUCUGACCAUCAGUGGAGUCCAGACUGAAGAUACAGGAGAUUAUUACUGUCUGAGUGCACACAGCAUCAACAGUAACUGGGUGUUCACACACCUAGAUCUAGGGACCACCUGGUAUCAGCAGAAACCUGGAGAAGCUCCUAAACUCCUGAUUUAUUAUAUAAACAGCCUCCAGUCAGGAACUCCAUCUAGAUUCAGUGGCAGUGGAUCUGGCAGUGAUUUCACUCUGACCAUCAGUGGAGUCCAGACAGAAGAUACAGGAGAUUAUUACUGUCAAAGUUACCACAGUGGUGGUGUGUUCACACAGUGA